AAGCGAAGCUAUCGAUAAAAAAUCUUAACCUGGCAAGCCUGUUACCUACGUUCCUACCAAAAUCGCGUGAAUGUUGACAAAAUGGGUAAAAGAAACUGGUUUUCCGAUCAACGCACAGUUAUUCUCUACUCUUUUCAAUACUUAACAACAACAAAAAAGAAGGUUGAUAGACUAGAAACUGGAAGGCUACGAACGGUGGUGGUGUAAGAAAAACACGUUACGAGUUACGACGUUUGCCACAACACUGCUCUCUCUCAAAGCGUCUGCGAACUGCGACUUUGAACUGGAGUGGAAUCUGGUUUUGAGCUAGGGUCUACCGCUAUUUAGCCUCCACACUGCUCGGCGGGUUUGGUAACGAAAUUUAUAAUUACAUUUUGUUUACUUGCGGCAAAUUUAAAUUGAGGCGGAACAUAAAAUUAUUCUAUGGACCAAAACUAAUUUCUUUUGACUUUUAUUUAACUUUAAAAUGAAUAUCAGAAUUUUGUUUAAGCAAAAAAGAUAAGUUAAGUUUUGUAAUUGGGAAUUGGUAG